rnacentral:rRNA from 1 species
UACGUAGGGGGCAAGCGUUGUCCGGAUUUAUUGGGCGUAAAGAGCUCGUAGGCGGCUCGGUAAGUCGGAUGUGAAACCUCCAGGCUCAACCUGGAGACGCCAUCUGAUACUGCCGUGGCUUGAGUCCGGUAGAGGAGCAGGGAAUUCCUGGUGUAGCGGUGAAAUGCGCAGAUAUCAGGAGGAACACCAGCGGCGAGGGCGCUGCUCUGGGCCGGUACUGACGCUGAGGUGCGAAAGCGUGGGGAGCAAACAGG